UUGUCUCAAAGAUUAAGCCAUGCAUGUCUCAGUACGAGCCGCAUUAAGGUGAAACCGCGAAAGGCUCAUUAAAUCAGUUAUGGUUCCUUAGAUCGUACCCACAUUUACUUGGAUAACUGUGGUAAUUCUAGAGCUAAUACAUGCAAACAGAGCUCCGACCGGAGACGGAAGGAGUGCUUUUAUUAGAUCAAAACCAAUCGGCGGCGGAGGCGCGCCUCGCGCGCGCCUUCGUGCGCCGCUAUACCUGGUGACUCUGAAUAACUUUAGGCUGAUCGCACGGUCUCGCACCGGCGACGUGUCUUUCAAAUGUCUGACUUAUCAACUGUCGAUGGUAGGUUCUGCGCCUACCAUGGUCGUAACGGGUAACGGGGAAUCAGGGUUCGAUUCCGGAGAGGGAGCCUGAGAAACGGCUACCACAUCCAAGGAAGGCAGCAGGCGCGCAAAUUACCCACUCCCGGCACGGGGAGGUAGUGACGAAAAAUAACGAUACGGGACUCAUCCGAGGCCCCGUAAUCGGAAUGAGUACACUUUAAAUCCUUUAACAAGGACCAAUUGGAGGGCAAGUCUGGUGCCAGCAGCCGCGGUAACUCCAGCUCCAAUAGCGUA
rnacentral:rRNA from 1 species